rnacentral:rRNA from 1 species
GACGAACGCUGGCGGCGUGCUUAACACAUGCAAGUCGAACGAAGAGCGCUGGCUGCUUGCUUCUAUCACUCUUAGUGGCGAACGGGUGAGUAACGCGUAAUCAACCUUCCCUUCAGAGGUGGACACCAGUUGGAAACGACUGCUACUACCGCAUACGCUCUCAUCUCGGCAUCGAGGAUAGAUGAAAGGUGGCCUCUACAUGUAAGCUAUCACUGCAGGUGGGGAUUGCGUCAGAUGAGCUAGUGGGAGGGGUAACGGCGCACCAAGGCGAGGAUCAGUAGCCGGACGGAGAGGACGAGCGGCCAGAUUGGGACGGAGACACGCCCCAGACGGCUAGGGGAGGCAGCAGGGGUGAUUCUUGCGGAAGCGACGAAAGACUGACGAAGAAGCGCCGCGGCAGGGAUGACGGCCGCCGGGUGGUGAAGCUCGGUUAAUCGGUACGAAAGGCCUUCUGGCGAAUAGGGAGAAGGAUUGACGGUACCGGGAUAGAAAGCCACGGCUAACUACGUG